rnacentral:rRNA from 1 species
AGAGUUUGAUCUUGGCUCAGGAUGAACGCUGGCGGCGUGCCUAAUACAUGCAAGUCGAGCGAACAGAUAAGGAGCUUGCUCCUUUGACGUUAGCGGCGGACGGGUGAGUAACACGUGGGUAACCUACCUAUAAGACUGGGAUAACUUCGGGAAACCGGAGCUAAUACCGGAUAACAUUUGGAACCGCAUGGUUCUAAAGUGAAAGAUGGUUUUGCUAUCACUUAUAGAUGGACCCGCGCCGUAUUAGCUAGUUGGUAAGGUAACGGCUUACCAAGGCGACGAUACGUAGCCGACCUGAGAGGGUGAUCGGCCACACUGGAACUGAGACACGGUCCAGACUCCUACGGGAGGCAGCAGUAGGGAAUCUUCCGCAAUGGGCGAAAGCCUGACGGAGCAACGCCGCGUGAGUGAUGAAGGGUUUCGGCUCGUAAAACUCUGUUAUUAGGGAAGAACAAACGUGUAAGUAACUGUGCACGUCUUGACGGUACCUAAUCAGAAAGCCACGGCUAACUACGUGCCAGCAGCCGCGGUAAUACGUAGGUGGCAAGCGUUAUCCGGAAUUAUUGGGCGUAAAGCGCGCGUAGGCGGUUUCUUAAGUCUGAUGUGAAAGCCCACGGCUC